rnacentral:rRNA from 2 species
UGGCGGCGUGCUUACACAUGCAAGUCGAGCGGAAAGGCCCUUCGGGGUACUCGAGCGGCGAACGGGUGAGUAACACGUGAGUAACCUGCCCCUGACUCUGGGAUAAGCCUGGGAAACCGGGUCUAAUACCGGAUAUGACACUCCUCCGCAUGGUGUGGGUGUGGAAAGUUUUUUCGGUUGGGGAUGGACUCGCGGCCUAUCAGCUUGUUGGUGGGGUGAUGGCCUACCAAGGCGACGACGGGUAGCCGGCCUGAGAGGGCGACCGGCCACACUGGGACUGAGACACGGCCCAGACUCCUACGGGAGGCAGCAGUGGGGAAUAUUGCGCAAUGGGCGGAAGCCUGACGCAGCGACGCCGCGUGGGGGAUGACGGCCUUCGGGUUGUAAACCUCUUUCAGCAGGGACGAAGUUGACGUGUACCUGUAGAAGAAGCGCCGGCUAACUACGUGCCAGCAGCCGCGGUAAUACGUAGGGCGCGAGCGUUGUCCGGAAUUAUUGGGCGUAAAGAGCUCGUAGGUGGCUUGUUGCGUCUGCCGUGAAAGCCCGUGGCUUAACUACGGGUCUGCGGUGGAUACGGGCAGGCUAGAGGCUGGUAGGGGCAAGCGGAAUUCCUGGUGUAGCGGUGAAAUGCGCAGAUAUCAGGAGGAACACCGGUGGCGAAGGCGGCUUGCUGGGCCAGUUCUGACGCUGAGGAGCGAACG